rnacentral:tRNA from 1 species
GCGUCGGUAGUUUAACGGUUAGCGUAGCUACCUUCCAAGCAGUUGCCACGGGUUCGACUCCCGGCCGACGCA